rnacentral:rRNA from 1 species
GACGAACGCUGGCGGCGUGCUUAACACAUGCAAGUCGAACGGAAAGGCCCUGCUUGUGUGGGGUGCUCGAGUGGCGAACGGGUGAGUAACACGUGAGUAACCUGCCCUUGACUUUGGGAUAACUUCAGGAAACUGGGGCUAAUACCGGAUAGGAGCUCCUGCUGCAUGGUGGGGGUUGGAAAGUUUCGGCGGUUGGGGAUGGACUCGCGGCUUUUCAGCUUGUUGGUGGGGUAGUGGCUUACCAAGGCUUUGACGGGUAGCCGGCCUGAGAGGGUGACCGGCCACGUUGGGAGUGAGAUACGGCCCCGGGUCCUACGGGUGGGAGCAGUGGGGAAUAUUGCGGAAUGGGCGGAAGCCUGAUGCAGGAACGCCGCGUGGGGGAUGACGGCCUUCGGGUUGUAAACCGCUUUCGAAUGUGACGAAGCGUGAGUGACGGUAAUGGGUAAAGAAGCACCGGCUAACUACGUG